AUAGAAAUAUAAAUUUUUUUUAUUAAAAAUUAAUAAAUAAAAUAUAAAAAAAAUAAUUUAAAUUUAAAAAGUUAAAAAAAUUAAUUCAAAUUAUUUAAAUUUUAAAUAUUAAUAUUAACAAAUUAAAUUAUUAAAAGUUAAUUUUUUAUUUUACCUUUUGUAUCAGGGUUUUUUAAAAUUAUUUUUUUAAAAAAAAAUUCUCGAAUUAAAAAAAAUUAAAUAAUUAUAAAAUUAAAAAUUACAUAUUUUUUUAAAAUAAUUAUUUAAAAAUUAAAUGUAUAUUAUUUUUUAAAUUAUCUAGUUAUUUAAGAAAUAAAUUUAAUUUAAAUAUUAUUAAUUAUAAUUUUUUUAUAAAAUAAAAAAUUAUUAAAAUAAUAUUUAUAAAUUAAGGGAUAAACUUUAAUUUAAAUUUUAAAAUUUUUUUUAUAAAAUUUAUAUUUAUAUAAAAUUAAAAAUAUUUAUAUUAAUAAAUAUUUAAUUAUUUAAAUUAAUUAAAUUUAAUAAUAUUUAAAAAAAUUUAAAAAUUUAUUAAAUUAUAAUUUUUAAUUUUUUAAAAUUAAAAAUAAUGAAGAAAUUAGUAAAUAUAUUAUAUAAAAAUAUUAAAUUAAAAGAAAAAUUAAUUUAAUGAAUUAGGCAAAAUUUAUUUUCAUAUGUUUAACAAAAACAUAGUUUUAAGAUUAUAAUUUAAAAUAAAUUCUGCUCAAUGAUAAUAAUUAAAUAGCUGCAGUAUUAAUAACUGUACAAAGGUAGCAUAAUAAUUAGUUUUUUAAUUGGAAAAUAGAAUGAAAGAAUAAAUGAAAAAUAAACUGUCUCAAAUUAAUUUAAAUUAAAUUUAGAAUUUAAGUAAAAAUACUUAAAUAAAUUAAAAAGACAAGAAGACCCUAUAAAAUUUUAUUAAUUUUAUAUUUUAUUUAUUUUAAUAUUAAUAAAUAAAAUAUAAAAUUAAUUUAAUUGGGGUAAUUUUAAAAUUUAAAUAAUUUUUAAUUUUUUAAAAUCAUAAAUUAAUGAAUUUAAAUAUCUUAAUUUUUAAUAUAAUAAAUAAAAUUACUUUAGGGAUAACAGUAUAAUUUUAUUUUUAAGUUCUUAUUUAAAAUAAAUAUUAUAACCUCGAUGUUGAAUUAAAAUAAAAUUUAAAAGCAAAAAUUUAAAAAUUUUAGUCUGUUCGACUAUUAAAAUUUUACAUGAUUUGAGUUAAGAUCGGUGUAAGCCAGAUCAGUUUCUAUCUUUUAAAAAUAUUAUUAUAUUUGUACGAAAGGACUUUAUAAUAAAAAUAAUUUUUAUAUAAAUUUUUUAAUUUAUUUAACUAAAAUUAAAAAUAUCUCUUUUUAAACUAUUAUAGUUAAC
rnacentral:rRNA from 1 species